CCUGGCUCAGAUUGAACGCUGGCGGCAGGCCUAACACAUGCAAGUCGAGCGGUAGCACAGAGAGCUUGCUCUCGGGUGACGAGCGGCGGACGGGUGAGUAAUGUCUGGGAAACUGCCUGAUGGAGGGGGAUAACUACUGGAAACGGUAGCUAAUACCGCAUAACGUCGCAAGACCAAAGUGGGGGACCUUCGGGCCUCAUGCCAUCAGAUGUGCCCAGAUGGGAUUAGCUAGUAGGUGGGGUAAUGGCUCACCUAGGCGACGAUCCCUAGCUGGUCUGAGAGGAUGACCAGCCACACUGGAACUGAGACACGGUCCAGACUCCUACGG
rnacentral:rRNA from 1 species